rnacentral:rRNA from 1 species
AACGAACGCUGGCGGCGCGCCUAAUACAUGCAAGUCGAGCGAGAAGACGUAGCAAUACGUUUGUAAAGCGGCGAACGGGUGAGGAAUACAUGGGUAACCUACCCUCGAGUGGGGAUAACUAGCCGAAAGGUUAGCUAAUACCGCGUACGCUCCUUGGACUUCGGUUCAGGGAGGAAAGCGAUACCGUGGGUAUCGCGCUCUUGGAUGGGGCUCAUGUCCUAUCAGCUUGUUGGUGAGGUAACGGCUCACCAAGGCUUCGACGGGUAGCUGGUCUGAGAGGACAAUCAGCCACACUGGCACUGCGACACGGGCCAGACUCCUACGGGAGCAGCAGUAAGGAAUA